GGUGGUGUCUCCUAGUGGCCGAUGGAGCGCGCCUCGAAAGCGCGUGUAGGGCAACCUACCGUGGGUUCAAAUCCCACCACCACCGCCA
rnacentral:tRNA from 7 species